GCCUAUGGCCUUAACACCCUAAAUGUGCCCAAUCUCAUCUGGUCUCAGAAGCUAGGCAGGGUUGGGCUUGAUUAGUUCUUGAAUGGGAGACAAAUCUUCAAAAGAGAUUGCUCAGAGACA
rnacentral:rRNA from 1 species